rnacentral:sRNA from 1 species
CGCGUCCCAGCCAUGGCGACAUCCCCGGCCGCGCUGCCCCGAAUACUCGGCGCGGGUGCCCGGGCCCCGUCGCGCUGGCUGGGCUUCCUCGGGAAGGCGAUCCCCGGACCUGCUCGGCCGAGCCGCAGGACGCUUGGAAGCGCGACGGCCCCUGUGAUCCUCGAGUCCGAGGACGGCCCCGAUUUCAACGACAAGAUUCUGAAUGAGCCCCUCAAGCACUCUGACUUCUUCAAUGUCAAGGAACUGUUUUCCGUGAGAAGCCUCUUCGAUGCCCGAGUGCAUCUGGGACACAAAGCUGGCUGUCGGCACAGUUUUAGGUGAUGACAGCCCCAUCCUCCUCCACAUGGGAACACAGAGCCCCACAGGGAAGUAGCAGUUUAUUCCUAAGCUUGGCAGGGGCUCUUGUGUGCCUUGGCGUGGCGCUCACAGCCCUUGAUAGGGCAGGCCUGCUGGGGGAUGCAGGACUCCACGGGUUCAGAAAUGGAAAGGCUGAGGGCAGAACCUGUAAGGUUUAUGGAGCCGUACAUCUUUGGGAGCCGCCUGGACCACGACAUCAUCGACCUGGAACAGACAGCCGUGCACCUCCAGCUGGCCUUGAACUUCACCGCCCACAUGGCCUACCGCAAGGGCAUCAUCUUGUUUAUAAGCCGCAACCGGCAGUUCUCAUACCUGAUUGAGAACACGGCCCGUGACUGUGGCGAGUACGCCCACACUCGCUACUUCAAGGGCGGCAUGCUGACCAACGCGCGCCUCCUCUUUGGCCCCACGGUCCGCCUGCCGGACCUCAUCAUCUUCCUGCACACGCUCAACAACAUCUUUGAGCCACACGUGGCCGUGAGAGACGCAGCCAAGAUGAACAUCCCCACAGUGGGCAUCGUGGACACCAACUGCAACCCCUGCCUAAUCACCUACCCUGUACCCGGCAACG